ACCUGGUGUCCGAGUGUCUGAGUGUCCAUCCUGUGUUCAUGUGUCCACCCUGUAUCCGUGUGUCCACUCACGUCCACUCCCAGGAUGAAGGACGGCGUGGAGCUGACCCCAAAUCCACCCCAUGUCCGUGUGUCCGAGUGUCCGAGUGUCCACCCUGUGUCCGAGUGUCCGAGUGUCCGAGUGUCCACUCGUGUCCGCUCCCAGGACGAAGGACGGCGUGGAGCUGACCCCAAAUCCACCCUGUGUCCGUGUGUCCAUGUGUCCACCCUGUGUCCACCCCGUGUCCGAAUGUCCGAGUGUCCGAGUGUCCACUCCCGUCCGCUCCCAGGACGAAGGACGGCGUGGAGCUGACCCGCGACGACGCCUUCAAGUACCGGUUCAAGAAGGACGGGAAGAAACAUUUCCUGAUCCUGAACGAGGCCACCAAGGAGGACACCGGGCGCUACCGGAUCCUGACCAACGGCGGCGAGGCCGAGGCCGAGGUCAUCGUGGAAGGUGGGGCCCAAAAUGGGGUGAAAAUGGGGGAAAAU
rnacentral:lncRNA from 12 species